GAUUCAAUGGCACAACGGUUAGUGCGCUUGGUAAAGAUUCAGCCUCUUUCACUCUUAUAUGCAAGAGAUCCUCGUUCAUUUCGGGGUUGGGUCG